rnacentral:rRNA from 1 species
GAUGAACGCUAGCGGCAGGCCUAAUACAUGCAAGUCGGACGGGAUUUGGGAGCUUGCUCCCAAUGAGAGUGGCGCACGGGUGCGUAACACGUAUGUAACCUACCUUAAUCAGGGGGAUAGCCUCUCGAAAGAGAGAUUAACACCGCAUAACAUCAUGAGAUAGCAUUAUUUUAUGAUCAAAUAUUUAUAGGAUUAAGAUGGGCAUGCGGGACAUUAGCUAGUUGGCGGGGUAACGGCCCACCAAGGCGACGAUGUCUAGGGGAUCUGAGAGGUUGGCCCCCCACCCGGGGACUGAGACCCGGACCAGACUCCUACGGAAGGCAGCAGUAAGGAAUAUUGGUCAAUGGGCGCAAGCCUGAACCAGCCAUGCCGCGUGCAGGAAGACGGCCUUACGGGUUGUAAACUGCUUUUGUACCGGAAUAAACCUUGAUAUGUAUAUCAAGCUGAAUGUACGGUAAGAAUAAGGAUCGGCUAACUCCGUGCCAGCCGCCGCCGUAAUAC